ensembl:lncRNA
GAGCACAGGUGACUGCUACUGAGCGGCGGCGACCUGGAGCUCUGUGAGGAACCUUGCCGUGGCACACUGCCACGUGCAGAGAGCACACGUGAGCACUGCUUUGCACUGCCCAUGCUGGAGCUCUGAGGGGGAGUCUGGAUGUCCUGAGAACGGAAAGCCAUUCCUGAGUGACCCCUGAAACCGGAGCUCUGAGGGGACCUCCUGCAGAGUCCUGAGCGCCGACUGGAGUGUACGUCGGAACUCGACACAGGACCCUGCUUCUGCGACAUCAAGCUUCUGGAAACCCCAGCCUCACAGCUACCAGCAGCUCCUGCACGACCGCACAUUCCACCCGCCCUCCACCCUCCAACGAGUCUGCCUGCAGAACCACAACACGAUUCUACAGCAUCCUAUGCAUAUUCCUCCGCGUCCCUUCCUCCGCCGGAUCUACAUUCUACAGCUGCAGCCAAAGCUUCGACGUAUCCUUCCACACAUGCAGGUUCUCCCCAUGUGCCUCUGCUGACAGGCUCCACUCCUCCUGCUCCUCUGCCUCAGCUACCAGCAGUUCCUGCACCAGGUCUAAGAAGUACCUCACCACAGCUUGGCACAGAAACCAUGCAGCAGGAGGGAGAAGGAUGGAAUAUGGCAGCCGCUUUGACAAAUAAAGGACAGACAGAGAACUGUCUUGCCCUUGCAAAUCCUAACCUUCUUAUCCCGAUUUUACAAAAUUCCCAGAAAGGUGUUGAUAAUUUCCAACUGACAGACUGGCAUGGAAUCAGACGUGAUAGUUCCAAAGAGGACAGUCUGAAUCUCUGAACCAUGCUUGAUGGUAUCCAGCCAGCAACCUGCUGGUCUCAGAACAUGGACAGUUAUCCUUUCCCAGGACUUGAAAGAAUUGCGAAAAGCAAUAAAUGACGGUGGUAUCUCCUCUUCCUAUUUUAAACAGCUGUUGCAAAGUACCAUAGAAAGAACACACCAAACCUUAAAACACAUUUUAAAUCAACAGAAAGGGGAGUAGAUCAGGCUGCACCUCAAAGGAGGUUGAGUAAGGCUCUGUAUGUUUACAAUUUUUUAAAUAGCUCUGCAGGAGAGCCUGACCCCCCUGCUUUACAGAUGUUUUCUGAAAAACAAGAAAGCAAAAAUAAAGGGGAACCCCCCAGUUUUCAGCAAAACCUUAAAUUCAGGACAAAUAGAAGGUCCACACAAGUUUAUAACAUAGAGGAAAGGUUUUGCUUGUGUUUCUACAGGUGAAGGACUCAAGUGGUUCCCAGCAAAGAAUGUGAAGCCUUACCAUGCACCAAAAUCUGCUGGCACCCCUGCACCAGGCAGUACUUCUGCAAGUACAAGCCGAGAAGCAAGCACCCAGACCUAAACUGAGCAGAGUCAUCAAGAGAAAAUGACCUGCCAGAAACAGCUCGAGAAAAGAAUGGACUUUUAUUGUUCGUGCCUGUGCAUGUUACUUUUGUUCUUUUGUUUUAGUUUUUUUUAUUGAAGUUUUACCUAUAAGUCAACCAAAAACAAAUGCCUGGGUUGCUUUAGCCAAAUCUGCAGGCUCUGAUACCAUCUGUCUAUCUGACACAAGCCCUAACAAACCUUUUUCAACCUGUUUAAUUAGAGGACCUUUUCCAGAAAGUUUUGAUAAUGCUACCUCAGUUAAGUUCUUCCAUUACCGUAAAGCAGUCAAACAAGUUAGGAUGUUGGCUCAGUAAAGAAGUAAGUGCCACCUCUACUAUAAUCAGUGAUUUAAUAACAGAUAAUCCAUCUUAGCGAAACAGUUUUUUUGAUGGUUUGAGCUUUGCACCUUAGCUAAAGGAACUCUGUAAAAUAAGAUUGAUUGUUUCAAUAGUAAUAAGUGUAGUUUUAGUAGCAAUACCCUGUAGACCUCCGAGUGUGCAGAAAAUAGUGUUUAAGUCAAUAUUUAGUAUCUCAUAGUUCAACGGAACGGGGGAAUUGUUGGGAAGGAUGGAUAAAUAUAAUUGCCUGGCAAAAGAUUUACAAUAGUACAGCCAGGAUGAGAACAACCCCCCCUACUGGCUGGACAAUACCCUUACCUACAAUUAAGUUAGUGAAUCUGUAGGAUCAAAAUCAGAAGUAGUUGCACAAACAUACUUAAAAUUAUUUGGUUUUUUUUUUAGAGCAACUGUUAGGAUUCUUUUAAUAUUAGAACAUUUAGGUAAUUUCCUCAACUACUCAAUUCUCCUGGAAAGCUCUACUGAACACAUACUUGAAAUGUAUGAUGAGAUUAUAGCAAUUAAUUCACCAAAGUUUAUUUAUAACGGAAUUUUUCAAUUUCAACCUUCAGUUAUAUAGUGCUAUUUUUGUUCCAAUUUCUUUUUGUAAAGUUUGAACUUUUGCACACUUUCUUUACAAGAAAGCAGAAGGAACAAAAAGUUAAUCAUGAGGCAAUUAUAUGGAUAUUUUUAUAUGUAUUCUGCUAAAUGGCUGUGCUGUGUAGGCCUUUAGUGAAGUAAUUACACACACAAACAACAAAGAACAAAAAAUAUAAGUCCUGUAAAUGUUAUUAAAUAAGGCACUAAAAGAGGACAUCUUUUAUCAGCCCAGUAGUGCUUAGCAAUUAAGCAUUACUUACACAGCAUUUCUGCAAUUCCAACAAUAAACUCCUCUAAAAAAA